GCUGGGUAUGGUGAUGCAUGCCUGUAGUCCCAGCUACUCAGGAGGUUGAGGCAGGAGAAUCGCUUGAACCCAGGAGGUGGAGGUUGCAGUGAGCCGAGAUCACGCCACUGCACUCCAGCCUGGGUGACAGAGUGAGACUCUGUCUCAA
rnacentral:sRNA from 1 species